AGAUAUAUCCAUUGAGCGUAUAAAAAUGCUGAUGAAGGCAUCCUUUACCGUCCGACGUCAGGAAGCACUGAGAGUGAUGCCCACAUAUAUGCUACACGAAGAAUUGGUUGCAUUUGAAAGCGAAUUGAUGUUUGGACGCAGGAUUGAAGAAAAUGAGCAAAAAUUGAAAAGGUUCCUUGAGGUCGCAUCAAAAGUACUAAAAUUUACUGAGCCAUCAUACGUCUCUUUAGACACGUACCUGCGACCCAGGUUUGGAAAGCAUGCUCUCAUGGCUACGACAUCUCCAAGUGAUUAUAUUGGACCGUGCAUAGUCUGGGGGGAAAGGAGACUCCUUAUUUGUGGCAGAGAGAAGGAAACCAUUGAAAUGAGUAAAGAC
rnacentral:lncRNA from 1 species